rnacentral:rRNA from 1 species
AGCGAACGCUGGCGGCAGGCUUAACACAUGCAAGUCGAGCGGGCAUCCUUGUGGUGUCAGCGGCAGACGGGUGAGUAACGCGUGGGAACGUGCCCUUCGGUUCGGAAUAACUCAGGGAAACUUGAGCUAAUACCGGAUACGUGCGAGAGCAGAAAGGUUUAUCUGCCGAAGGAUCGGCCCGCGUCUGAUUAGCUAGUUGGUGAGGUUAUGGCUCACCAAGGCGACGAUCAGUAGCUGGUCUGAGAGGAUGAUCAGCCACACUGGGACUGAGACACGGCCCAGACUCCUACGGGAGGCAGCAGUGGGGAAUAUUGUACAAUGCGGGCAACCCUGAUCCAGCCAUGCCGCGUGAGUGAUGACGGCCUUAGGGUUGUAAAGCUCUUUUCUCCGGGACGAUAAUGACGGUACCGGAGGAAUAAGCCCCGGCUAACUUCGUG